rnacentral:rRNA from 1 species
GAUGAACGCUGGCGGCGUGCUUAACACAUGCCAGUCGAACGAUGAAGCCCAGCUUGCUGGGUGGAUUAGUGGCGAACGGGUGAGUAACACGUGAGUAACCUGCCCUUAACUCUGGGAUAAGCCUGGGAAACUGGGUCUAAUACCGGAUAGGAGCGUCCACCGCAUGGUGGGUGUUGGAAAGAUUUAUCGGUUUUGGAUGGACUCGCGGCCUAUCAGCUUGUUGGUGAGGUAAUGGCUCACCAAGGCGACGACGGGUAGCCGGCCUGAGAGGGUGACCGGCCACACUGGGACUGAGACACGGCCCAGACUCCUACGGGAGGCAGCAGUGGGGAAUAUUGCACAAUGAGCGCAAGCCUGAUGCAGCGACGCCGCGUGAGGGAUGACGGCCUUCGGGUUGUAAACCUCUUUCAGUAGGGAAGAAGCGAAAGUGACGGUACCUGCAGAAGAAGCACCGGCUAACUACGUG